GUCCAGAAGACAGUGAUGUUAUAUUUUUCCAAGCACAUAUCGGAUUGCUCAGUGAGGAAAUCCAACCACUUCUGAGUUUUCUGGAC
rnacentral:snoRNA from 1 species